AGCACUUGUGUCUGUUUCUGUUUAAUCUGGGAGCAGAGACCACAUCCGGGUAUGAAAACGAAAUCCUUGUUUGCAGCCCAGAACCCAUCGUUUGGUAUGAUUUUUGAUACACGUAAGAAGAACGUG